CAAGUCUGAUGGAGCAACGACCGCGUGAGUGAAGAAGGGUUUCGGCUCGUAAAGCUCUGUUGGUAGUGAAGAAAGAUAGAGGUAGUAACUGGCCUUUAUUUGACGGUAAUUACUUAGAAAGUCACGGCUAACUACGUGCCAGCAGCCGCGGUAAUACGUAGGUGGCAAGCGUUGUCCGGAUUUAUUGGGCGUAAAGCGAGUGCAGGCGGUUCAAUAAGUCUGAUGUGAAAGCCUUCAGCUCAACCGGAGAAUUGCAUCAGAAACUGUUGAACUUGAGUGCAGAAGAGGAGAGUGGAACUCCAUGUGUAGCGGUGGAAUGCGUAGAUAUAUGGAAGAACACCAGUGGCGAAGGCGGCUCUCUGGUCUGCAACUGACGCUGAGGCUCGAAAGCAUGGGUAGCGAACAGGAUUAGAUACCCUGGUAGUCCAUGCCGUAAACGAUGAGUGCUAAGUGUUGGGAGGUUUCCGCCUCUCAGUGCUGCAGCUAACGCAUUAAGCACUCCGCCUGGGGAGUACGACCGCAAGGUUGAAACUCAAAGGAAUUGACGGGGGCCCGCACAAGCGGUGGAGCAUGUGGUUUAAUUCGAAGCGGCGCGAAGAACCUUACCAGGUCUUGACAUCCAGUGCAAACCUAAGAGAUUAGGUGUUCCCUUCGGGGACGCUGAGACAGGUGGUGCAUGGCUGUCGUCAGCUCGUGUCGUGAGAUGUUGGGGUUAAGUCC
rnacentral:rRNA from 1 species